rnacentral:rRNA from 1 species
GACGAACCGUGCAAACGUUGUUCGGAAUCACUGGGCUUAAAGGGCGCGUAGGCGGCUUGCCAAGUCGGGGGUGAAAUCCAGCAGCUUAACUGUUGAAGUGCCUUCGAUACUGGCGAGCUCGAGCAAGGUAGGGGUGCGUGGAACUUCUGGUGGAGCGGUGAAAUGCGUUGAUAUCAGAAGGAACGCCGGUGGCGAAAGCGACGCACUGGACCUUUUCUGACGCUGAGGCGCGAAAGCUAGGGGAGCAAACGGG